GUGGGUAGUUUGACUGGGGCGGUCUCCUCCCAAAGAGUAACGGAGGAGCACGAAGGUUAGCUAAUCCUGGUCGGACAUCAGGAGGUUAGUGCAAUGGCAUAAGCUAGCUUGACUGCGAGCGUGACGGCGCGAGCAGGUGCGAAAGCAGGUCAUAGUGAUCCGGUGGUUCUGAAUGGAAGGGCCAUCGCUCAACGGAUAAAAGGUACUCCGGGGAUAACAGGCUGAUACCGCCCAAGAGUUCAUAUCGACGGCGGUGUUUGGCACCUCGAUGUCGGCUCAUCACAUCCUGGGGCUGAAGUAGGUCCCAAGGGUAUGGCUGUUCGCCAUUUAAAGUGGUACGCGAGCUGGGUUUAGAACGUCGUGAGACAGUUCGGUCCCUAUCUGCCGUGGGCGCUGGAGAAUUGAGGGGGGCUGCUCCUAGUACGAGAGGACCGGAGUGGACGCAUCACUGGUGUUCGGGUUGUCAUGCCAAUGGCAUUGCCCGGUAGCUAAAUGCGGAAGAGAUAAGUGCUGAAAGCAUCUAAGCACGAAACUUGCCCCGAGAUGAGUUCUCCCUGAGACUUUAAGUCUCCUGAAGGAACGUUAAAGACGAUGACGUUGAUAGGUCGGGUGUGUAAGCGUAGCGAUACGUUGAGCUAACCGA
rnacentral:rRNA from 1 species